rnacentral:rRNA from 1 species
GACGAACGCUGGCGGCGUGCCUAACACAUGCAAGUCGAGCGAGGAAAUUUCUUCGGAGGUUUCCUAGCGGCGGACGGGUGAGUAACACGUGGGCAACCUGCCUCGAAGAGGGGGAUAGCCUCCCGAAAGGGAGAUUAAUACCGCAUAAUAUCGGUUUAUCGCAUGAUUUACUGAUUAAAGGAGAAAUCCGCUUCGAGAUGGGCCCGCGGCGCAUUAGCUAGUUGGUGAGGUAACGGCUCACCAAGGCGACGAUGCGUAGCCGACCUGAGAGGGUGAUCGGCCACAUUGGGACUGAGACACGGCCCAGACUCCUACGGGUGGCAG